CAUCCUGACACAGUAUGCUUUGCCUAGCACAAUGUGAUGCCCUUUACCUAGUAAGAGUGAGUCUCAUAAAGGUGCUGCCUUCCCCCGCAGAACAAACAGCGGAAAUGCAUCAGGAGAGCUCAGCUGCAGACAGAAUGUACAUCGUGAAGCAGGAGCCACCACGGGAUUCCUUAGAUGAAAGCCGAUUUCAAUGAACAUUGUGUUUCAAAGCCUGCUUCCUCUUGCACCGUAAGAGCUGCAGAAGGAACAUCCCACUUACGUCUGCUGACACAAAAGAAUGCUGUGGUUGGGAGAUCUUAUCGAGCCUUCCUGUGCCACAGUAACAGAGCUCCACUUGUGUCUUGUAAGAAUUGUUCAUUGUUUCAUGGGGACGACUGGCUCCUUUGGGUGGGAUCUGACGGCAUCUCAUGGAAUGGAGCAAUAAGAGCAUGCCUUUGGGACAAUGGAUGGAAUCAGAGUUGAACUGAAGCCAACUCCAGUUUUUUAAGGAAAAUUUUUCAUGACACUUCCAGAUAAGAAAAUUGAGGCACAUAAGGAUUGAACAACUUACAAGG